rnacentral:rRNA from 1 species
GAUGAACGCUGGCGGCGUGCUUAACGCAUGCAAGUCGAACGAUGAAGCCCAGCUUGCUGGGUGGAUUAGUGGCGAACGGGUGAGUAACACGUGAGUAACCUGCCCUUGACUCUGGGAUAAGCCUGGGAAACUGGGUCUAAUACUGGAUAUGACUUCUCAUCGCAUGGUGGGGGGUGGAAAGAUUUAUUGGUCUUGGAUGGACUCGCGGCCUAUCAGCUUGUUGGUGAGGUAAUGGCUCACCAAGGCGACGACGGGUAGCCGGCCUGAGAGGGUGACCGGCCACACUGGGACUGAGACACGGCCCAGACUCCUACGGGAGGCAGCAGUGGGGAAUAUUGCACAAUGGGCGGAAGCCUGAUGCAGCAACGCCGCGUGAGGGAUGACGGCCUUCGGGUUGUAAACCGCUUUCAGUAGGGAAGAAGCGAGAGUGACGGUACCUGCAGAAGAAGCGCCGGCUAACUACGUG